AUGAAAAUUGUAAGUUGGAACUGCCGGGGACUCGGGAACGGCCCGGCGGUUCGCUCUCUUCUCGACCUGGGAAGAGUGGAGGAGCCCGACAUUCUGUUCUUGUGUGAGACUAGGUUGGAGGAGAAGGAGUUGGAUCGUUUUAGAUGGCUUAUAGGGCUCACCCAAAUGUGCUCAUGAAAGGGGGAGGGGAGGAGUAGAGGGGUGGCAAUGUUUUGGAGGAAAGAGGUGGACGUUACGCUGAGAUCGUUCGGGAGAAGGCACAUUGAUGUUGAUGCAAGGAGAGAUGAUGGAUUGGUC
rnacentral:rRNA from 1 species